rnacentral:pre_miRNA from 1 species
GUAAAAGUAAUUUGUAUGGAAUUGGAACGCUUGCUUACGUUUGCCGCUAGAGGCGCUGUUUCAACUCCAUAUAAAUUUGAGUUA